rnacentral:rRNA from 1 species
UAGGGAAUCUUCCGCAAUGGGCGAAAGCCUGACGGAGCAACGCCGCGUGAGUGAUGAAGGUCUUCGGAUCGUAAAACUCUGUUAUUAGGGAAGAACAAAUGUGUAAGUAACUAUGCACGUCUUGACGGUACCUAAUCAGAAAGCCACGGCUAACUACGUGCCAGCAGCCGCGGUAAUACGUAGGUGGCAAGCGUUAUCCGGAAUUAUUGGGCGUAAAGCGCGCGUAGGCGGUUUUUUAAGUCUGAUGUGAAAGCCCACGGCUCAACCGUGGAGGGUCAUUGGAAACUGGAAAACUUGAGUGCAGAAGAGGAAAGUGGAAUUCCAUGUGUAGCGGUGAAAUGCGCAGAGAUAUGGAGGAACACCAGUGGCGAAGGCGACUUUCUGGUCUGUAACUGACGCUGAUGUGCGAAAGCGUGGGGAUCAAACAGGAUUAGAUACCCUGGUAGUCCACGCCGUAAACGAUGAGUGCUAAGUGUUAGGGGGUUUCCGCCCCUUAGUGCUGCAGCUAACGCAUUAAGCACUCCGCCUGGGGAGUACGACCGCAAGGUUUG